UACAGAGGUCUCAAGCGUUGUUCGGAUUCAUUGGGCGUAAAGGGUGCGUAGGUGGCGCCAUAAGUCGGGUGUGAAAUCUCGGGGCUUAACUCCGAAACUGCAUUCGAUACUGUGGUGCUUGAGGACUGGAGAGGAGACUGGAAUUCAUGGUGUAGCAGUGAAAUGCGUAGAGAUCAUGAGGAAGACCAGUGGCGAAGGCGGGUCUCUGGACCGAUACUGACGCUGAGGAGCGAAAGCGUGGGGAGCGAACAGG
rnacentral:rRNA from 1 species